rnacentral:rRNA from 1 species
CGAGUUUGAUCGUGGCUCAGGAUGAACGCUAGCGGCAGGCUUAAUACAUGCAAGUCGUGGGGCAGCAUGAGUGUAGCAAUACAUUUGAUGGCGACCGGCAAACGGGUGCGGAACACGUACACAACCUUCCUAUAAGUGGGGAAUAGCCCAGAGAAAUUUGGAUUAAUACCCCGUAACAUAACGAUGUGGCAUCACAUUGUUAUUAUAGCUUCGGCGCUUAUUGAUGGGUGUGCGGCUGAUUAGAUAGUUGGCGGGGUAACGGCCCACCAAGUCUACGAUCAGUAGCUGAUGUGAGAGCAUGAUCAGCCACACGGGCACUGAGACACGGGCCCGACUCCUACGGGAGGCAGCAGUAAGGAAUAUUGGUCAAUGGACGCAAGUCUGAACCAGCCAUGCCGCGUGAAGGAUUAAGGUCCUCUGGAUUGUAAACUUCUUUUAUCUGGACGAAAAAAGGCUUUUCUAAGUCACUUGACGGUACCAGAUGAAUAAGCACCGGCUAACUCC